rnacentral:rRNA from 1 species
UGAGCAAUCUGCCCUUCUCAUCGGAAUAAGCGUUGGAAACGACGUCUAAUGCCGAAUACGACCUUCUUUCACAUGAUCGGAGGUGGAAAGCUCCGGCGGAGAAGGAUGAGCUCGCGGCCUAUCAGCUAGUUGGUGUGGGUAAUGGCCCACCAAGGCGACGACGGGUAGCCGGCCUGAGAGGGUGACCGGCCACACUGGGACUGAGACACGGCCCAGACUCCUACGGGAGCAG